UUCGCCCUUAGAGUUUGAUCCUGGCUCAGGACGAACGCUGGCGGCGUGCUUAACACAUGCAAGUCGAACGAGAAUCUACGGAUCGAGGAUUCGUCCAAGUGAAGUAGAGGACAGUGGCGGACGGGUGAGUAACGCGUGAGGAACCUGCCUUUCAGAGGGGGACAACAGUUGGAAACGACUGCUAAUACCGCAUGACACAUUGGGGUCGCAUGGCCCUGAUGUCAAAGAUUUAUCGCUGAAAGAUGGCCUCGCGUCUGAUUAGCUAGUUGGUGAGGUAACGGCCCACCAAGGCGACGAUCAGUAGCCGGACUGAGAGGUUGACCGGCCACAUUGGGACUGAGAUACGGCCCAGACUCCUACGGGAGGCAGCAGUGGGGAAUAUUGGGCAAUGGGCGCAAGCCUGACCCAGCAACGCCGCGUGAAGGAAGAAGGCUUUCGGGUUGUAAACUUCUUUUGUCAGGGACGAGUAGAAGACGGUACCUGACGAAUAAGCCACGGCUAACUACGUGCCAGCAGCCGCGGUAAUACGUAGGUGGCAAGCGUUGUCCGGAUUUACUGGGCGUAAAGGGCGCGUAGGCGGACUGUCAAGUCAGUCGUGAAAUACCGGGGCUUAACCCCGGGGCUGCGAUUGAAACUGACAGCCUUGAGUAUCGGAGAGGAAAGCGGAAUUCCUAGUGUAGCGGUGAAAUGCGUAGAUAUUAGGAGGAACACCAGUGGCGAAGGCGGCUUUCUGGACGACAACUGACGCUGAGGCGCGAAAGUGUGGGGAGCAAACAGGAUUAGAUACCCUGGUAGUCCACACCGUAAACGAUGGAUACUUAGGGUGUAGGAGGUUAUCGCCCCUUUCUGGCCGCCAGUUAACACAAUAAGUAUCCCCCUGGGGGAGUACGACCCGCAAGGUUGAAACUCAAAGGAAUUGACGGGGGCCCGCACAAGCAGUGGAGUAUGUGGUUUAAUUGGAAGCAACGCGAAGAACCUUACCUGGGCUUGACAUCCCUGGAAUCGAGUAGAGAUACUUGAGUGCCUUCGGGAAUCAGGUGACAGGUGGUGCAUGGUUGUCGUCAGCUCGUGUCGUGAGAUGUUGGGUUAAGUCCCGCAACGAGCGCAACCCCUAUUGUCAGUUGCCAUCAUUAAGUUGGGCACUCUGGCGAGACUGCCGGUGACAAAUCGGAGGAAGGUGGGGACGACGUCAAAUCAUCAUGCCCCUUAUGACCUGGGCUACACACGUACUACAAUGGCAGUCAUACAGAGGGAAGCAAAACCGCGAGGUGGAGCAAAUCCCUAAAAGCUGUCCCAGUUCAGAUUGCAGGCUGCAACCCGCCUGCAUGAAGUCGGAAUUGCUAGUAAUCGCGGAUCAGCAUGCCGCGGUGAAUACGUUCCCGGGCCUUGCACUCACCGCCCGUCA
rnacentral:rRNA from 1 species